GUCGGUAUCGAUUAGGGGUUAAAUCACUUCGUUGUGGUAUUUGACAUUCCGAAGAGCCGCUGGUUCGAUUCCAGCUACCGACA
rnacentral:tRNA from 1 species